ACCCGAACUGUAAGGUUCUUUCAGGGAGA
rnacentral:piRNA from 1 species